GAGCGGAACAUAUUCUCAGGCCCCGCCAUGAACGAAAAAACCACACCAAGAACAGGCGAUGCCUUAAUUUCCCUGGUGUUGGCGCAGUAUUCGCGCACCCCGGUUAAUCC
rnacentral:sRNA from 1 species